UACGAAGGGGGCUAGCGUUGCUCGGAAUCACUGGGCGUAAAGCGCACGUAGGCGGCUUUCUAAGUCAGGGGUGAAAUCCUGGAGCUCAACUCCAGAACUGCCUUUGAUACUGGAAAGCUUGAGUUCGGGAGAGGUGAGUGGAACUGCGAGUGUAGAGGUGAAAUUCGUAGAUAUUCGCAAGAACACCAGUGGCGAAGGCGGCUCACUGGCCCGGUACUGACGCUGAGGUGCGAAAGCGUGGGGAGCGAACAGG
rnacentral:rRNA from 1 species